ACCCAUCUGUUCCCUUUCCCAUCUGAUCUCAACACAGGUCUUGGUGGUCGUAAAGGAGAAAGAGCAUACUGAAGCUGGCCUAACAGCCUUGUGGUCUGGUAUAAGCAUAUGCGUUAGAUUCAAACAGGG
ensembl:snoRNA